rnacentral:rRNA from 1 species
GACGUAGGGGGCGAACGUUAUCCGGAAUUAUUGGGCGUAAAGGGUGCGUAGGCGGCAUGAUAAGUUAUUGGCGGCAAAUCGAGGCUCAACCUCGUGGAAACUGAUAAUACUGUCUUGCUUGAGUGCAGAAGAGGUUAACGGAACUCCAUGUGGAGCGGUAAAAUGUGUAGAUAUAUGGAAGAACAUCAAUAACGGCGAAGGCAGUUAACUAUUCUGUUACUGACGUUGAGGCACGAAAGCGUGGGGAGCAAAAAGG